rnacentral:rRNA from 1 species
UGCAAGUCGAGCGGACAGAUGGGAGCUUGCUCCCUGAUGUUAGCGGCGGACGGGUGAGUAACACGUGGGUAACCUGCCUGUAAGACUGGGAUAACUCCGGGAAACCGGGGCUAAUACCGGAUGGUUGUUUGAACCGCAUGGUUCAAACAUAAAAGGUGGCUUCGGCUACCACUUACAGAUGGACCCGCGGCGCAUUAGCUAGUUGGUGAGGUAACGGCUCACCAAGGCAACGAUGCGUAGCCGACCUGAGAGGGUGAUCGGCCACACUGGGACUGAGACACGGCCCAGACUCCUACGGGAGGCAGCAGUAGGGAAUCUUCCGCAAUGGACGAAAGUCUGACGGAGCAACGCCGCGUGAGUGAUGAAGGUUUUCGGAUCGUAAAGCUCUGUUGUUAGGGAAGAACAAGUACCGUUCGAAUAGGGCGGUACCUUGACGGUACCUAACCAGAAAGCCACGGCUAACUACGUGCCAGCAGCCGCGGUAAUACGUAGGUGGCAAGCGUUGUCCGGAAUUAUUGGGCGUAAAGGGCUCGCAGGCGGUUUCUUAAGUCUGAUGUGAAAGCCCCCGGCUCAACCCGGGGAGGGUCAUUGGAAACUGGGGAACUUGAGUGCAGAAGAGGAGAGUGGAA